GCAGUUUCAACAGCAAUAUCAAGUUGAAAUUUGUAACUCAAAAUACAUGGUUCACAAAUAGAAUUUGCAAGAACUGAUAAUAAUAAGAUUAACAUAUACUCUUGAGAAAAUUGGUAAGGAUUCGCCUCGCAGCACUAUAAAGCAUAGAAUAAAUGAUGGGAACUAAACCAUAAUGAUGAAUAACCGAUCUAGAUAAACCAGAGCAUUAGAAUUUGUUGCGAAACCAUCACAAAUUCCAUAAAAGUUGCACGGGUUUACCACUGAUGCUCAAUAUUGUUAGGCAACUCAAGAUUGCUAGCACAGCAUAAACAUGUACACAGGCUGAUUUUUUCAUCCCAUUGAUUUAGUAAGUAAAUGAUACAUGCAGUUUCAAGCUCCAAAAGGCAUAUGUACUGAUUCGGCACAACUUAUUCUGAGUGCGAAGUCCAAUAAAUCAGCCCACUGAUCAACACAAGCACACACUGCAACACACCGGCAGUUCCUGUCCAAACUGAAGGUCCAGUUUUGACAAUUGAAUCUUGUAUUAAUAAGCCCACUGAUGCUGCUAGAGAAAUGAAGGAUACAACAUAUGCAAAGAAAAGCCAAAGCUUCAAUCUGUUGCAAUUAAGAGAUGGAGCAGCAAACGUUAGCUUGAGCAGGCAAGCAUAAAGUAAAGCAUCUAAAUCUUGUAAAUCAAUUGAACUACAAAUCACAGAAUCAAACAGGCGUGGGAAGGCAAGGUCAAUGAAUUUUCAUUAUUCAGAAGUAUGCACGCAUACACAAUCAGCCAUAUGAUGCAACCAACAUUCAAUCCAAUUUCUCGGAACAAAUGAAUAAUCAAAAACAUUUUAUUAAGCAAUAUCAUGAAAGUUUUCAUCUCAGUGCUAAAUUUGCCAAAUUAAGUCAGUAAAGUUUACAGUAAACCCCAAAAAGGUAAAAACUCAAGCUUCAAUUUAUUGAGAGUAAAAGUUGAGAAGGGGAAGAACCAUUCCUCUUGUUCAUGCCAUUAUAAAAAAUUGGAAGAUUAUCAUGUGAACUUAAAAUCCUGGAGGCAAAUGUAACUGUAAACAAGCCUUUACAGCAGCACGCAAAGGAGUUACAAGAUGGGAAAUCAUUUUUUAACCCUGCAUGAAACACGACGGAGAGCCACAUUGCAACAGAAAAUUACCCAACUUCAAAAACCCAGUUGAAAUGUAUUAAAGGAAUUUUUAACAUACACACAAAGAGGAUCAUUUUGUGAAACCUAGUUUUGUGCAUUGAAUAGGUUUUAUAAAUAGAGAAUUCUCAUUGGAUACGAUUUGAAAACAUAAGGGGAUGAUUUGAUAGCAUAAGGAGUCCACAAUUUGAGUCCAAUACAAUGACAGCAUGUGCUCACAAGAGUUGCUUGUCUCAAUAACUACAACCAAAAUCACAAAUUCAUAUGUCCAAAAAGAAAAUGAAUAAAGACAUAUGGAAUUGUAAAAUUCGUGAGCAGAAAGAGAAGUAUCAAUUUUUCUGAUAAAGAAAUAUGACCAAACUCAUAACUACCAAUUUCUAAAAGUCAAUAGAGAUAAGCACCAAAAAGGACAAUGGGUGUCAGGCCUACAAGAAAUUUAAUAUUUUAUUGACAUAUAUCUAGCAGAAAAGGCUUAAGAAUCUAUAGCCAGCUCUAACUGCCUUUAAAAAUGACAAACUUGGGAAACUCAAACAACACUUCUUAAUCUAUUAAAUCCUAUCAAGUAUAACGUGAUUUGCAUCAGAAAACUAAUGCCCUACAGUCCCAACUCUAAAGGCACAUGUUAGGGAGAUUCUCAAUUGGGAUUAGAGCAACUCCCUGGCUUCAGGGGAGUGAAGGGCUAAGACUUGCCUACCUUGCACCAUCAUUACCAUGUUAGCAGGCAAACAUAUCAUGGUAAAACUUGUAAGACUUAAAUACGGAUUAAGGGAAGCAGGGAUGCGACCCAUUCUAUAGCCCCAACCAUCUCACUGCAGGUGUCAUCAAAUCUACCCUAUACAGGCGUUGAAAAGGUGGGCCUGGUCUAUGUUAGACAUUUUUGGACCUCAGCACCAAAAUAAAUACAAAUAUAUGUAAGUACUGAAAUUGGGCAGGCCAGGUAAGGGCAGACCCUAUACAAACUUAAAUCCAAAGCCAGCCUACGUUUGAGGUGGACCUCAGCCGAAUAAGGCCUAUGGACAAAAACCCCUUGGCUAAGCUCAGCAUUUUUUGGCUGGCAGGUCCCCAUUUUCGUAAGAAGGCCUACUUAUCAGUACGUAAACACAUUAACAGAAUGCUGUAUGUUGAAAGGUUCAGAAAAGAUAUUCUGCAGAAUAAAAUUUUUAUCAUUGCUUUUUUUUUUUUUUUUUUU
rnacentral:misc_RNA from 1 species